CCUAAAUAACUUUUAUGAUUAUCGUACAAAUUGACCCCCAAAAUUGCAUUUUUAUGUUCGAAGGACUAAUUUUUGCUUGUUUUAGGGAUUUUGCACCUGAGUCUGACAUCGUAGAAGGACCAUUCUGGUAUCAGAUUGACUAAUUUUUGCUUGUUUUAGGGAUUUUGCACCUGAGUCUGACAUCGUAGAAGGACCAUUCUGGUAUCAGAUUGGAUUUUGCACCUGAGUCUGACAUCGUAGAAGGACCAUUCUGGUAUCAGAUUGGAUUUUGCACCUGAGUCUGACAUCGUAGAAGGACCAUUCUUGCAUCAGAUUGGAUUUUGCACCUGAGUCUGACAUCGUAGAAGGACCAUUCUGGUAUCAGAUUGGAUUUUGCACCUGAGUCUGACAUCGUAGAAGGACCAUUCUUGCAUCAGAUUGUUAGUAUUAAAUUUCAUUAUCUUAAAUAACUUUUGUGAUUAUUACACAAAUUGACUCCCAAAAUUUAUGCUUGUGUGUUUUCUUUAAUAAAGAAUAUUUUUAAGUU